GAUGAACGCUGGCGGCGUGCCUAAUACAUGCAAGUCGAGCGAACAGACGAGGAGCUUGCUCCUCUGACGUUAGCGGCGGACGGGUGAGUAACACGUGGAUAACCUACCUAUAAGACUGGGAUAACUUCGGGAAACCGGAGCUAAUACCGGAUAAUAUAUUGAACCGCAUGGUUCAAUAGUGAAAGACGGUUUUGCUGUCGCUUAUAGAUGGAUCCGCGCCGCAUUAGCUAGUUGGUAAGGUAACGGCUUACCAAGGCAACGAUGCGUAGCCGACCUGAGAGGGUGAUCGGCCACACUGGAACUGAGACACGGUCCAGACUCCUACGAGAGGCAGCAGUAGGGAAUCUUCCGCAAUGGGCGAAAGCCUGACGGAGCAACGCCGCGUGAGUGAUGAAGGUCUUCGGAUCGUAAAACUCUGUUAUUAGGGAAGAACAAAUGUGUAAGUAACUAUGCACGUCUUGACGGUACCUAAUCAGAAAGCCACGGCUAACUACG
rnacentral:rRNA from 1 species